UGUGGUGACGAUAGUGAGAAGGAUAUACCUGUUCCCAUGUCGAACACAGAAGUCAAGCUUCUUAACGCCGAGAGUAGUUGGGGGAUCGCCCCCUGC
rnacentral:rRNA from 1 species